AUGUAUCCGCUCUCCAAUCCUUCCGAUCUCCGCUCCCGUUAGCUUAACGGCCUUCCGGCCGCCUUCUAGACCCUCAAAACGGCUUAACAGAAGUUAAUUGUCGACUAAAUUAGGUUAGAAGUCGAAUCCCCCUUCCUGGUUAGCUAAAAAUCGAUAUUUAUAAUCUUUGUGGCCGACCUAAGUACGCUGGGCGUACUUAGGAUUACGCAGCGCGUACUCAAGAUAAUCACGCGAUCAAGUCUAUCCGGUGCAAAGGUGUACGCGGCGCGUACCAUUUCCUUACGCGGGGCGUACUCGCUUUUUCAGCAAUUUUGAUUUCUUUUAGCUUCUAAGCCCGGUUCCCGAUUCAGUCUUUUCUUUUGUGCUUCAUCGGCAACAAAUAGCUGCAAAACAUAAUUCAAAGCAUUAUGAGUACUUUUUAGUUCUAAAAUAGAAUAAAUAAGGCCAAAAUAUUAAGAUAAAGUGUAUAAAAAUAUAUAUAAAAAUACACAUAUCAAAAUACCCCACACUUAGCCUUUGCUUGCCCCCAAGCAAAUUUACUUUUAUUUUACCAAUAUUGCACUAAACAAUCCUUUUAAAACUCAGCCAUUAUGCCAAGACCUCAACGCGUACAUUUGUGUCUAAUAUUUUCCUAAAGUACCCCCCCAUAUUUUAAAUACUCACAAUCUUCAUAAACACUCGCCCACUUUUUCCGAACAAUGCUCAUUUUAUGCAACCCUCCGAAUCCAUCCGCAGAAAACCUCCUAACCUCAAGGUAUUUUUAGUUGAGCAACCUAAGCAUACAUAUUCUAGAAAAUUACAACUUUCCGAUACCACUAUGGAGCUUUAUUUGAAUUCUUCAUUUCUUUGGCAUUUUAUCUUUGAUUUCUUUGAAUUCAACACCUUAUUUGAAUUGAUUUCUGGUAUCUUCAACUUUUUGAAUUUCUUCAGAAUUUUGAUCUUUUGAUCUUUACUUUAUUUGCUCCAAAAUUCUUCAAACUUUUUUCGUAAUUCUCUUUUCUCUCUUUUUUUUUUCCACAUGUAACUCACUUUUUUUUUUCACUCAAAUCCCUACAUGCUUAAGCAGAGGCGCUCAACCUCAACCUUUAUUGGUUAAUGAUAAUAAUUUUCCUGGAUACAUUUCAGGUUUAGGCUGCUAAACAUAUUGCAUCCCUCAAACCAAGCGGGGUUAUGUUUUUGUUCCAUGAUUUCACUAAAAUAAGGGAGGCCACAAAUGCACUAUAACGUAUAUUGGCUCAACUAAACAUUUGAGUUCUCAUCGGAUCAUUUCAUACAAUAUUAGCAAAAUUUAAAUUAUCACUAGAUUUUUCUAAAUUAAACUAUUAUUUCAAGUUUUAAAAUUUUUAAAUUUUCCAAAUUCUAGCAAUUUCAUUUUUUUUUCUCUUAAUUUUAAUUUACUUUUACCGAUCCCCUACCCCACACUUAUUUCAUACAAUGCCCUCAUUGUAUGCUAAAACGAAUUAAGAACAUAAAAAGGGAGAAAAAGGAACAGACUCCCCUGGGUAGUUGUGGCGAGAUCGAAUGGGGCUGCUACAAGUUGCUUCAAAUAUCGCCGAAAGACUGAAAACUGGAACUGCUGCCUCUGAAUUUGCCGAAAAAUAGAAUCAAGACCGCCAUCUUCAAAAAUGUGGUGCAAAAUAUUGCAAAUAAAUGCAAAGUAUAGUAACCAUGACGUGGGAAAGUGUCGACCACGUCGUCUCGUCAAGAAUGACAUCCUCUACUCGCGAUGAAAAAUCCCCCAUAACAUAGGAAAGUGUCAACCAUGUCGUGGCAGCCGGGACGAUACUUCUUCCUCGCGUCGAAAUAAAACUCUAUAGUAUGGGAACUGCUCAUCCAUAUCAUAAGAGUCAAAACAUCGUAACAAUGCCAAUCUUCAAAACGAUCGCUCACGAAAUAAAUAUGCACCCCACACUUAUGACAAAUCGUGGGUCUCGACUAUAAUCUUCAACUCUCAUACCGCUCUCUCUAGCAACAGUCGGACCUAGCUGCUGAACUUACUGCCAGCUUCCUAAGGGCGAAAAUUCUGCAGAAAUCUAAACAACCAAAGAGCAUCAACAUGGAAAACAAACUAAAUCAAACUAAAUCAAAGUUUAAUUACAUACCAAAUACUAAAAACUAAACUAAACUAAAAAUAACACAAAACAAAUAAAACAAAAUAAAAAGGAUCACUCGUCAUCUCCAUCAUCAUGUGGCUGUGUCCCAGAAGUACCGGCCCCAUCAAAUCGUGACUGGAAUGGUGGUGGAAAGGGAACCGAAUACUGAAACCCCUGAUGGGCAAAGAAUGCGUUCAACGCAUUCCCAUACCACCGCUGUUGCAUGUCCACAUGUGCAACAUACUCGCUAAGACGAUCAAUGCCCUGAGCCAGAUAGCGCAUAUCAAUCUCCCGCUCAGGUCCCUGCUGCGCUCCCCGAGGAGCAGGUCGACGCCGCUGGACCCGUCUCGGCUGUGGCUCGGCAGCACCCUCCUCAUCUGCCUCAUCAUCUGCUCGAACUCUCAAAACACCAUCACCACCCCGCUCUAAUACGCGCAUCGACUCCAAUAGCUGAAGACUCAUCGGCCUCAUGUCGUGAAACACCAUCGAUCUCGUGAUCUCACGUGUCAUCAACUGGUAUGAUCGAGCUAACCGUGUGAUAAAAUGCCCUCCGCAUAUCGGGCUAUCUCCCCGAAGUCCCCUGGCCCUCCGUCCCAAGUAUGCAGCUAAAGCAACUGGAAGGUUCAGGUGCCUCCCUGGAGUAACUAGUGCCCAUAGGAAAUACAGGUCCGUCGAAGGCACUCUCUCACUAUUCUUGUGAUGCGUGAGAGACAUAGAAAUCAACCGGUGCAACAUUCGGUAUGUAGUGGACCGAAUCAUCCCCCCUCGAGCGGUAGAUGGUGUAUAAACUCCUCCCGUAAUCUCGGCCCAAAAUGUGUUCUCAUUAUAGUCCGCUGGCCGUUCCGUGAGACAGUCAGCAAGGAAUGUCGGGAAGUGGACACUCCUCGUCUCGUCGGCUGUGUAAAUACCCACCCGAGUAGCAAGCUCUAUCACGCUGCAUUCCCGGCUCACUCCUCCCAGUCUGAAAGCAAAGGCUGUCCUGUCAUCGAGUGGCUUCCUAGGAUCAUAGGAAACUGUAGCGUAGAACUCCAGCAAAAACUCCCGAUACACAGGCUCCUGGAUCCUGAACAAACGCGCCCAUCCCUGACACACAAACAAUUCCACACCACUCGCGUCCGAGUGUGUGUAUUGCAAAAAUUCCUGGAUCAAUGCAUCAAGUCCAGUCCUGGUAGCCAACUCCCAGUCGAAUGAGGGUGCAAUAUCAAUCUCCUUUGUGAGAAGCAAGCUCAAGUUGGUGACAUAACGCGCCCGGGUAGCAUCGCUCAGUGUUUGCGGAAAUUGUAAAAAAUGAUGAUCGGUCACAUCCUCGGGAGGGUUGGUUCUUUGUGUCCUUCGAGCCAUAAUCUGCACAAAUAAACACACACACACAAAUCCAAACAAAAUAUCACAGCAUUAAUAAUUUUUUAAACCAAAAAAAAAAAUGGGGCUGGAUAGGGGUAGUACGCUGGGCGUACGUCCAGGUUCAACAGAUCUGUGUCGGUUCUAUUACUCGUGCAUAAACCAUACCCCUACUCAAAAUAAACACAUCAGGGCAGCAAACUGUUAACAUUUCGUGGUCCAAAUGCAGUAGGAACAAAAAACGUGACCACCCUUAAAAAUCAGUCCCCGUUAUCUCGUAACUAGUGACAAUCAAGUGUAGCAGUCAAGAACUCGAAGUCAGUCAAGAAGUCGAAGUCAACAGGGGUACGCUAGGCGUACGACCCCNAGUCGAAGUCAACAGGGGUACGCUUGGCGUACGACCCCGAGCUCAAAUCGAUGGGUGUGGGACAGAAAUUAGACCAAAUUAAGUCCUAGGGUUUAGUUUAUUAACCGAAAUUGGUCCAUUCAAGCCCUAAUCAACACAUACAUUUGCAAAAUCGGCCCUAAUUCGAGAAAUAUAUAAACCCUAGAUUUCAAGCAAAAGCUAAAUGCAGCUUAUUCCUUCGAAUUAAACACAAAUCCAUAACAUAGAGUGACCGAAAAAGCUUACUUGAGUGUCAAAUUUAACAAGAACGAAGCACAAUCGAAAGUUUUGGAGAGAGUUGUCGUCACAGCAAGAAAGGAAUUGGGUUUGAAAAUAACAGCGAAGUCAAAGGGUCAAGUGAUAUACCUGGUCGGAGAUGUACGCGGGGCGUAACACAAGGGUACGCGGGGCGUAACCCCAAGACCCUGAAAUGUUCAUUCGCGAUUCGGGGCUCAUUACGCAAGGCGUAAUCCUACUUACGCAAGGCGUAAGUUUAAAUGAAAAUUUCCUUUUUUUCUUUUAAUUGAAUAUCCUUUUCUCUUUAAUCAUUUAAUCUAGGGACUUAAAACUUAUUUAUUUUUUUUUCUUUUUUUUAAUUUCUUAAGCUAAUGAUAACUUCACGAUGAGUGAUAAAAAAAUUGAGAUGUCAUAAUCACUUAUCUUUGUCAAGAUCAAACAACAAUGGUUGAUCAAAAACCUUUGCAUGCAAGAAUUGGUUUGCGAAAACACCCACUUUCGGGACCCGUUAGAAUAUUUCCUUUGUUUUCCUUGCACCUUUAACUAAAAGCGGAACAAGAAGUGACCUAACUAGUCAAGAACAGCAAGAGCUCGGUCUUCCACUUAACCACCACAAUACGCCUUGCUAUACUACGCCUCAUGGAUUGAGUUGGACAAAUCAACAAAGUAGUAGGCUAAGCAGGUCAAGAAUUCCCUAAUCGCUUUCAUUCUCGAAACCCAUGCAAAAAGUAAAGUCAAGCAAUGUGUACAAUCCCAAAUUCCUGCAAAAUAAAAACAAGAACCUUCCCGACAAGUGAAAUGAUAUCAUCGAAAAUCAAACUAAAAAUAAAAACUAAAAAUAAAAACUAACUAAAAACAAAUAACGAAUAAUCAAAUAAAAUAAAUUAAUGACAAGCCGUUCCCCGGCAACGGCGCCAAAAACUUGAUGUGCACAAAAGUACCCACUAAUUUUAAUAUUUAUAACCUAACAAACUUAGACUAUCUAUGCACUUAUAGGCAGUGUACCUAGUCAGAUUACAGUAUAGCUUAGGUAAGUCGGGUGUCGAUCACAGGGAACGGUGGAUUAAUUUAAUAUAUUUGAUUAUAGGUUACAGGUCACACGAAAAUAAUAAAUAAAAUGGUUUAAUAAAUCUCAAACUAGCAAAUAACAACUCUCGAUAAACUAACAGGAAAGCAAAUCUCUUCAGGUACUUUGGUUUAGAUAAAUUACACCUUAAAAACAUAGACAAUUGCAUACACAAAUUCAUUUAUUCAUGUUCACCGAUUCCUAAAAUGAUUAGAUUCGCGUUCACUAUAACUAAUCCUUUAGCAAACAAGUCAAUUCAAACAGUGAUCAGUUGAUUAAACUAACAUGCUUCCUAGUGUUCAGUUCGUAUCAAGCAAGACUUGUAAAUAUAGUUAAUCAAUGUAGACAUUUAAUCAACCUCUUGUUGAUGGUCAUCAAACAAGGCUCACACAUUAACUUACUUAUUCUCAAAUUAAUCCUAGUUUCACAUUCGUUAUUUCUAGUCUUAUAAUCUCGAUGGUCAUCAAAAAUCAUAAGAGACAAGCAAAUCAAGCAGAUGUUCAUGCAACUCAAUUCACUUAACAAUUAACAGAAAAUAAUCAUCAUUAACACAUGAGGAUCUUUUAACAAGCUUGGCAAGAUAAAUUAAACACAAAUAAACUAUUUAAUAUAGCAAUUAGUCUAAUAAUCAAAGCUUCAUUCAAUCAUAAACACAAAGUAAAAGGUUUUUACACCUAAAUCAGAAACUAAAUACAGAAAAGUACCACCAUGGAAUGCUAAACAUGGUCACGUCAGCAAACCAUAUGAUAAUCAACAUGUAUCCGCUCUCCAAUCCUUCCGAUCUCUGCUCCCGUUAGCUUAACGGCCUUCCGGCCGCCUUCUAGACCCUCAAAACGGCUUAACAGAAGUUAACUGUCGACUAAAUUAGGUUAGAAGUCGAAUCCCCCUUUCUGGUUAGCUAAAAAUCGACAUUUAUAGUCUUUGUGGCCGACCUAAGUACGCUGGGCGUACUUAGGAUUACGCAGCGCGUACUCAAGAUAAU
rnacentral:lncRNA from 1 species